ensembl:scaRNA
UUGUCCUGUGCCUUUUUCUGCUACCCUGUGCUCAGUCCUAACAGGGUGGUCUGGCAGGACGCACAGUGAUUUCCCUCUCAGUUUAGGAGGGCUGUCCUGAGAAAAGGGCUGGCUCUUAAAGGCACGAGAGGACAAU